UUUUUCUCCCCGCAGUGUUCUGAAAUUUCACAGAACUUGGUGUGCAUGUGUUUUCAUUUAUCAGUGGACCUUUUUCAAUCUGGCAGUUUAUUUCCUUCAGUUCUGACAAAUGUUCUUGCUUUAUUUUGCACUUGUUUUCUUUGUCUGUUUUCUCUUCUCCUAUUCUGUAACUUCUGUUCUUGGAUGUUGGGCUUCCUGGAUUGGUCCUCGAAUUUUUUUUAUCUGUUUUUCCUAUUUCCUCCUUGCACCCCAGGAGGCAAUUUCCUCAUACUUAGUAUUUAACCUGUUAUUAGAUUUGUUAUUUCUGCUACAGUGUUUUUAAAUUUUAAGAGUUCUAUUAUAUUUUCCAAAUUUCUGUCUCUUAGUCUCCUUUUAUGCUAUUUUUCUUCUCUUUGAGUAUAUUAACAAUAGUUUUUCCUUACUGCUCUACAUAAUCUUUUCCUUUCUCAGCUGGUAAUCCUUGGCUAUCUUCUAGUGUUUAAAUGGAGGGGACUGAUUACUGAUUGAAAACUCUGCCAUUUGAAUUAGAAUUUGUAUUUAGUUUUAGGGUUUUUAAAAAAUUGUUUUUUUGUGGUAUACUUUACAUGUAGUAAGAUGCAAAGAACUCAGUGAUUUAUACUUCAGUGAGUUUUGACAGAUGUAUAUAUCUGGGUGACCAAAACCCUAAUCAAGAUAAAGAAAAUGUCCAUCAAUCUAGACUAUUCCUAGGUGUUCUUUCUGGUCAUUCCCUACCCCCACAUGACCAAAUCCCUCACAGAGGCAGCCACUUUCUGAUGUUUUGCCCCAUAGACCAGUUUUGACUAUUAUUUAUUUUUAUUUUAUUUUAUUUUUUAGUUGUAGAUGGACACAAUACCUUUAUUUUGCUUAUUUAUGUGUUGUGCUGAGGAUUG
rnacentral:lncRNA from 1 species